GGCGGUAUCUCGACAGCAGAAAUCGACAGCCACGAACAACCCGAGCAGGAGUGACUUCCUGCAGCGAUGCGGCGUGUUUCCCCGAUGGCUUUCUUCUCCCCGACGCGAACGAACACACAAAUGACUCCCUUGUUGCAGCGUAGCCUCCGACCUGCAACGACGCUCAAUGAACGAAGCAUACCUAUGACGAGCACAAUUCCCACAGCGCCAAACGUACCAAAUCCACAACGUUGUAUUCCUCGGCAGCAUCUGCGAGCAGAUUUGGCUAGAUCCCAGCAGCACUGGCGUUCUACAGUGGUUGUGCGUGACCCUCGUUGCAGUGGCAACGCUCGUAGGUUAGGUGCUGCUGUCAAUUUCAUCGAAUUUUAUGGUUGCUGUAAAUUUAUGAAUGACAUUGUAAAUGCUAGUGAUUUUCUUCUUCUAGUUUCCUCUUAUGAAUAGUUUUUCUUUGACCACUUGGUGUAGCAUUGAUUCAAAUUUCAGCUAGUGGUGGAAGAUUGCAAGUUUUUACUUGCCAAAUUUGAACACCAUAGUAACCAAACCAUGACGAAAGUUUAGAGAUCUUGUCAGGUGAUAAUUGCAGUCAUAUUUGAUCAACUUCAACCUGCUACAAUUGCAACACUAAAAUAAAUAUAACAAACCUUUAGUAAGUGAAAAAUGUUAGAACAAUUUUAGCAAGCAGAGAACGAAAGAUUGUGAGCUAAUAGAUAAGGUGAUGGACAAAGUAGGCAAGGGAAGGAGUUAUCACCAUGGUUUUGGGGUUGCAACUUCAAAAUUUUUAGCUUGGUUCCAGGUAAACACCGAAGAUUUGGCUUCGUAACUCAAUGCAUAUGCGGUACUGUAUUAUUUAAAACUUUGUUUGGAUGUUAUUGUUUAUGUCAAGUUUUUUGAGAAAGCUCAUUUUCCUAAGUUGCUUAUUAUUGGUUUAUAUGACAGGAGCAAUCUUCACACUAGAACAAGAAGUCGUAAGGAUUUGAAAUGCUUUGUCGAACUGCGUCCGGAUGAGCUGAAGCAUGUUGUGGCUGUUUCAUUCAAAGUUCCAUCAUAACAAAAGUCUUUCUUAUCCCAAAGAUGUCAACAAUUAGGAAUGCAACUAAUCGGUGGCUGAGCAUCAUUGUUGAGGUUCGUGUGUAAGGAAUAUGUUUAAUUCUGUAAUUAUGUAAUUUGUGUUUGA